UUUAUGCAGCCAACAGGGCCAGGAGGGAGGGAAGGCCCACGCUGCCAGCUCAGUGUGGCCUCCCAGGGGCUGGCAGAGGCCAGCCUGGCCAUCAGGAGCCUCUGUCUCUGGGGUCUUCUAUUUCUGGACUCAGCCUCCAGGGCCGUUGGCAGGCCUUCCGGAACCAUCGCUGACCCCCGCCUCACCACACUCCACAGACCCACAUGGCUGCCGCUGGGGACCUGCUAAGUGCCGGGGGCCUGCUGGGGAGAAGUUCAAGCAUUUCAUCCUGUCAACCCCAAGCCUUCCCAGGUGAGGAAUGAAUGUGCUGAGAGCUCAGAAGCCCCGUGACGCAGAUGCAAUUGUCACCUCUAUUUUACAGAGGCUGGAACUGAGGCACAGAGAGGUGAAGGAGAUUUCCCAGAACCACCAAGAUUUGAAGGCCACCAAGAGCCCACUUGCCACAACAGCCACCCAAGAGA